rnacentral:lncRNA from 1 species
AAACCCGUCUCCUUGGUUCUCAUCACCACACCCAAACCCUAUUCCCGAAACCGAGUUUUCGCCACCGAAAGUGAACGUUUCCAUGGACAAGACCCCUCUUGUGGACGAGUAAUCUCCAUAGGUAUACAAAUACUCACAAGCUCCUCUCUCUUGGUUGCAACUCGACCGAGGCAAGGCUUCACAAAGACCAGAAGAGCAUCCAAUUUUUGAGUAAGAAGAAGACUUUUUCGGGUCGAAAAUAGGAGUUGGUUGGUGGUAACAAUCCGUGCAAGGCUUGCAUUGAGUCCAUAUAAGGUCACUUCCAGUAUCUAAUACAGCCGAGUAUUUAACCGGAGGGUUUCCUAUAGCUAAAUCCAUAAGAAACUCACCGCUUCCGCCAUGAGUAGGUGCUUUAAUGUUGUUAGUAUCAUCAGGACCUGAUGAUUCAGCCAAAACAGCUGCAGCUCCUAACCUGUUUAGCCUGUGGAAUCCACGGUUAAUACCUCUUUGGAUCUUUUGGAUCUUUGUGAGGUUUUUACCGGAAUCCACAUGUUGUAGACUUAAUCGUAAACCGGAUCUUGGAAGGAUUGUUGGAGGAGGAUGGUUGGUUAAUGAUUUUCUUGAUGAUGAAAGAGCGAUGAAACAUGAGAAGAUGAUAAGAAAGAAAGGGAGUAACAAGGAGGAAGAAGAAGUCAUGGUUUGUGUUGCUUUAAAUCAUAUAUUAUAUGAUAAAAGUGAUAAUAUAAAACAUUAGUUUCAAUGCUUUUACGAUUAAAAAUCAAAAUGAUAAAUAUAGUAAUAGUAAUGAUUAGGAUUUAGUAGUGAGAUUUAAAUAAAUAAAAGAAUUGACUAAAUUAUUGUUGGAGAAAUAUAUGGUAACAUAUUGUUAGUAUAAAUUUAAGGUAAGACCACAAAAUAAUGAAUUAAAUGAAAGGGUCCAAAUAACUUUUAUAGGUAGAUUUUUUUAUACUUCUUGUCUUUUAAUAGUAUUGAUGAUUAUGGUUUCACAUGGACAUAUGAAAACAAAUAAUAUAACUCAGUUUUAGCCAUAGGUUUUCAAUUAGUUAUUUAACAAUAAGGAAAUUAAAAUGAUUUACAAAUAUUUCUUCUAUUUUUUCAUGUUUUCAACUAUUUAAAAACUUCUUUAAUUUUUCUUUGAAACUUGAUCUAUUUUAUUAAUUUUCAUUUUCUAUUUCCUCGGAGAUAUCUCUACUGGUGUAAAAAAUAUUGAAGAACUUGACAUUGUAACAACUCACAAAGCAUGAAAGUUUAUUAAUAAUAAGAGAAGCAAACAGUUAAAAUCUACAAUUUUCCACAUUCAGCGGGAAUAAAUGAGACCUUAUCCUUCUCAAGAUCAUGAACAACAUUAAAAUUCUGUUGCUGAAAGUUUCCAAAAAUAGACAUCCCAUUAGAUUUCCCCAUAGCCAAACACAAAACGCCCGUACUCGGAUCCUCCACCACGUAAUUCUCUCCGGGAAGCUCCAAAUCCGCACCCUUAAAAUGAAAAACAAGCUUAGGAACAGCUAAGUUCUUCGCCUCAUUAGGUAACGUAUAACACAAGUCAAGUCCUGUGGAUCCUGAUUCAUCUACUGGUAAACUCAUCCGAGAAGUAAACUCCCUCUUCAAGGUAUUAAACACAACCUCCUCUAGAUACGUGAUGGUCGUGCCAGAGUCUAUGAUCAUGCCUCCAGUUCCAUCUUCAGCUAGUUCGAACAUAGACUUUUCCAUAGAAAGACGUUUUGAUCCAACGGUGAUGCCUUGUAGGUCAAGGUAAUAGAACGAGGGCUGUCUAGGGUUUCGUAGCAAGGACGUGGUUUUGAUGAGUUCCCCUUCUGACCUUCCACCGCUUUUCUUGACGAUCUCCGAGGCUAGAGAUCCAAUGAACAGCGAGCUAGACGCUUCGGUAUCAUCAAUGGUGGUUAAACAAUAAGAGAACUUAGUCUCCUUGAGCUGAGUUAUAAGCGAGAGCGGUCCACGACCAAGACCUACAAGACCCGACCCUUGUGAAAACCCGUCUCCUUGGUUCUCAUCACCACACCCAAACCCUAUUCCCGAAACCGAGUUUUCGCCACCGAAAGUGAACGUUUCCAUGGACAAGACCCCUCUUGUGGACGAGUAAUCUCCAUAGGUAUACAAAUACUCACAAGCUCCUCUCUCUUGGUUGCAACUAGACCGAGGCAAGGCUUCACAAAGACCAGAAGAGCAUCCAAUUUUUGAGUAAGAAGAAGACUUUUUCGGGUCGAAAAUAGGAGU